rnacentral:rRNA from 1 species
GAGCUUGCUCCUCUGAUUUAGCGGCGGACGGGUGAGUAACACGUGGGUAAUCUGCCUGUAAGACGGGGAUAACUCCGGGAAACCGGGGCUAAUACCGGAUAACAAGAGAAGAAGCAUUUCUUCUUUUUGAAAGUCGGUUUCGGCUGACACUUACAGAUGAGCCCGCGGCGCAUUAGCUAGUUGGUGAGGUAACGGCUCACCAAGGCGACGAUGCGUAGCCGACCUGAGAGGGUGAUCGGCCACACUGGGACUGAGACACGGCCCAGACUCCUACGGGAGGCAGCAGUAGGGAAUCUUCGGCAAUGGGCGAAAGCCUGACCGAGCAACGCCGCGUGAGCGAUGAAGGCCUUCGGGUCGUAAAGCUCUGUUGUUAGAGAAGAACAAGUACGAGAGUAACUGCUCGUACCUUGACGGUACCUAACCAGAAAGCCACGGCUAACUACGUGCCAGCAGCCGCGGUAAUACGUAGGUGGCAAGCGUUAUCCGGAAUUAUUGGGCGUAAAGCGCGCGCAGGCGGUCUCUUAAGUCUGAUGUGAAAGCCCACGGCUCAACCGUGGAGGGUCAUUGGAAACUGGGAGACUUGAGUGCAGGAGAGAAAAGUGGAAUUCCACGUGUAGCGGUGAAAUGCGUAGAGAUGUGGAGGAACACCAGUGGCGAAGGCGGCUUUUUGGCCUGUAACUGACGCUGAGG